rnacentral:rRNA from 1 species
UACGUAGGGACCAAGCGUUGUUCGGAUUUACUGGGCGUAAAGGGCGCGUAGGCGGCUUAACAAGUCACUUGUGAAAUCUCCGGGCUUAACUCGGAACGGCCAAGUGAAACUGUCAAGCUAGAGUGCAGAAGGGGCAAUCGGAAUUCUUGGUGUAGCGGUGAAAUGCGCAGAUAUCAGGAGGAACACCGGUGGCGAAGGCGGGUCUCUGGGCCGAUACUGACGCUGGAGGAGCGAAAGCGUGGGGAGCGAACAGG